ACUCAAAAACUCACAGCUGAAUUCAGCUGUCACCACCAUAGAGUCCACCUUCAGAGACCACCAACACCUCCACCAAUCCAUCACCAAUUCCUUCACACCUUCACGAAUAAAAUUUCGUAUACUUGAGGUCCUAAUGUCAAAUGGGUGGCCAUCAAAAUGUUUACCUCUACGAGGAAAAUCGCUAAAGAUAAGGGUGUUGAUCAUCUAUAAAAAAGACAAAUGCCUCAAGAGUUCGUCUGUCUACCACAUAUUUUGUUCCUCAAGGUGCAUCUCAAACCAAAAAGAUGACGUAAUUGAGCAUCCAUUCGUCCAAUGGAUUUCAGAACCACAAGAAGGAAAUUGGCUGGUGGAACUUACUCUGACUUGGAGGAUUAGUUCAGCAUUGCUCGAAAG